AAAUAAAAAUGGGCAAAGGAUUUGAGUGGACAUUUCUCCAUUUAUAUACAAAUAGCUAAUAAGUACAUGAAAAUAUUCUCAACAUCAUUAGUCAUUAGAGAAAUGCCAAUCAAAGUCACAAUGAAAUACUACUCUACGUUCAUUAGGAUGGCUGUAAUUUUUUUUAUUAUUAUUAUUAUACUUUAAGUUCUAGGGUACACGUGCACAAUGUGCAGGCUUGUUACAUAGGUAUACAUGUGCCAUGUUGGUAUGCUGCACCCAUCAACUCGUCAUUUACAUUAGGUAUUUCUCCUAAUGCUGUCUCUCCCCUAGCCCCCAACCCCCCAACAGGCCCCAGUGUGUGAUGUUCCUCACCCUGUGUCCAAGUGUUCUUAUUGUUCAAUUCCCAACUAUGAGUGAGAAUAUGCGGUGUUUGGUUUUCCGUCCUUGUGAUAGUUUGCUGAGAAUGAUGGUUUCCAGCUUCCUGUUAAAACUGCUGCGGUUGAUCAGUCCUAUAGAUCCCAAUGAUUCCAGUGCAUAAGAAGCAGGAAGGAAAAAAAAGGGAAUGGCCACUUUGUUUCUUCAAAACUGGCCUUCCAAGAGAUACUGCUGUUGGAAGUGAAGGCUUUCUUAGCCUUAAAGAAGCACUGUAGGCUGGGCGCGGUGGCUCACGCCUGUAAUCCCAGCACUUGGGGAGGCCGAGGCUGGUGGAUCAGGAGGUCAGGAUAGCGAGACCAUCCUGGCUAACAUGGUGAAACCCCGACUCUACUAAAAUUACAAAAAAAUUAGCCAGGCAUGGUAGCGGGCGCCUGUAGUCCCAACUACUUGGGAGGCUGAGGCAGGAGAAUGGCGUGAACCUGGGA
rnacentral:lncRNA from 10 species